rnacentral:rRNA from 1 species
GCGAACGCUGGCGGCGUACUUAACACAUGCAAGUCGAACGAGGAUCGUCGGGUUAGCAAUAAUUCGGCGGUUCUAGUGGCGUACGGGUGAGUAACACGUGGGUAACCUGCCCUCGAGUCCGGGAUACCCUCUCGAAAGGGAGGCUAAUACUGGAUACGUUCCCUGGGGCGCAAGACCUGGGGAGGAAAGGUGGCGAAAGCUACCGCUCUUUGGAGGGGCUCGCGGCCUAUCAGCUAGUUGGUGAGGUAACGGCUCACCAAGGCUAUGACGGGUAGCUGGUCUGGGAGGACGACCAGCCACACGGGAACUGAGACACGGUCCCGACUCCUACGGGAGGCAGCAGUGGGGAAUUUUCCGCAAUGGGCGACAGCCUGACGGAGUGACGCCGCGUGGGGGACGAAGGGCCUUC